rnacentral:sRNA from 1 species
CUCAGAAACUGUGCGUUUCGAAGAUUGGCUUCUCUCCCACUACUCGUCACUUCUCAAUGGAUCCUCUGAACCGGAUAGCCUAAUCUACUCGAUCUAUGAGAAUCCUGAUGAGCCACGACGCCUUUUCGUCGGCGGAUAUGAAUCUUCAACAUUCAAUUUCCUGGAGACCUCAGCAGCGGCUCACGAUUUGAGAACUCCUAUUCUGGGAUGCCAAAUUGCGGAUUCACUUGGAAAAUUGCCUGAAGGAACGCCGGAUUCAGCGUAUUUUGAUCGAAAAUAUAAGAGAUCCGUUAUGAAUUGGG